UGGUUUUUGAUCCUCAGUACCCUGGUUGGUAUUAUGAUACAAUUGCACUUGAAUGGUGCUCGCUGGAGAGCUACACAUCAUCUGUCCAAUCAACUGUUCAAGGUGAGAGCCAACUGGAUCAGAAUGGUUUGGCUUCAGUGCAGACUUCCUCUCACAAUAGUGAUCAAAGGAAUUAUGGUGCAUACGGGCACAAUGACGAUAGUAGAUUCCAAGAAUUUAGCAGCGGUGGAGGAGAUUACAACUGGUCGGGCUCUUUUGGUAAUUAUAAUCAGAAUCAGCAUAGCUCAAAUAUAUCGCAAAAUGAAAAUGUUGCAAAAAGUAACACUGUGUCAGAAUAUAGGGGGAACCAACAAUUAGAGAACAACUACAACCAUAAUUUUUCUGCAAGCAGCCAUCUUAAUAGGCAAAUCAAUAAUCAUUAUGAGGGAACAGUUCCAUACAAUGCAAACACAACUCAAAGUCAAAAUGACCAACGUUUUUUCUCUGGUGGGGGUUCGGGUCAGC
rnacentral:misc_RNA from 1 species